rnacentral:miRNA from 1 species
CUGCAGCAGACCUGUGCACUGA